rnacentral:sRNA from 1 species
UCUUGGUCAUUUAGAGGAAGUAAAAGUCGUAACAAGGUUUCCGUAGGUGACACCUGCGGAAGGAUCAUUAUCGUACAACCAGAGGUCGCCAGGGCUGUCGCUGACCCUUUCGAGGGUCGUGCACGCCCCCGAGCGUCCUCGUUCAAUCCAUCUCACCUUUGUGCAUCACCGCGCGGGCUCCCUUUUAAAAAAGGGGGGCUUGCGUUUUUCCACACAAACGCAUAGUAUAGAAUGUCUUUUAAACGCAAUCAAUACAACUUUCAACAACGGAUCUCUUGGCUCUCGCAUCGAUGAAGAACGCAGCGAAAUGCGAUACGUAAUGUGAAUUGCAGAAUUCAGUGAAUCAUCGAAUCUUUGAACGCACCUUGCGCCCCUUGGCAUUCCGAGGGGCACACCCGUUUGAGUGUCGUGAAAUCCUCAACCUUCUUCCUUUUCUUUGAAUCGGGGGAAAGGCUUGGACUUUGGAGGCUUUUGCUGGCCUCUCCCUCUUUUGAAGCCAGCUCCUCUUAAACAAAUUAGCGGGGGUUCCCUUUGCCGAUCCUCGACGUGCGAUAAGCUAUUUCUACGUCUUGAGAGGCAGAGACCUGCUUCCAAUCGUCUCGCAGAGACAAUCGACGAACCCCUUUGGCCCCANAUA